UCGAGCGAAUGGAUUAAGAGCUUGCUCUUAUGAAGUUAGCGGCGGACGGGUGAGUAACACGUGGGUAACCUGCCCAUAAGACUGGGAUAACUCCGGGAAACCGGGGCUAAUACCGGAUAACAUUUUGAACCGCAUGGUUCGAAAUUGAAAGGCGGCUUCGGCUGUCACUUAUGGAUGGACCCGCGUCGCAUUAGCUAGUUGGUGAGGUAACGGCUCACCAAGGCAACGAUGCGUAGCCGACCUGAGAGGGUGAUCGGCCACACUGGGACUGAGACACGGCCCAGACUCCUACGGGAGGCAGCAGUAGGGAAUCUUCCGCAAUGGACGAAAGUCUGACGGAGCAACGCCGCGUGAGUGAUGAAGGCCUUCGGGUCGUAAAACUCUGUUGUUAGGGAAGAACAAGUGCUAGUUGAAUAAGCUGGCACCUUGACGGUACCUAACCAGAAAGCCACGGCUAACUACGUGCCCGCAGCCGCUGUAAUACGUAGGUGGCAAGCGCAAUCCGGAAUUAGUGAGCGUAAAGCGCGCGCCGGUGGAGUCUUAACUCUGAUGCGAAAUCCCACGGCACAACCGAGGAAGGACCAUGCGAACAGGCAGACUUCAUUUGCCCAAGAAGCAAUAAAUAAGCCCAUGUUGCAGAGCGUUAAUUCGAUAAGCUCUUGUCCCUAGGUUCCCAAGCUUUCUUCAAUGAUCGAUCUCUUCGAGUUCCGCAACCUGGGACGGAAUUCUCUCAUCAGGGACUUCUUAGGAGUUUUCCCAAGCCGGUUUCCGCACAUCUGAAAACUUGCCGUCAAUAGCAAUUCUUCCCUGGAUUCUAGACCCCCUGUUUGACUUAUAUCGGAAUAACCGUGCUUCCGUUCAUUUUAAUCGUUUUACUAGAUGAACAUGUUGCGAGGCUAUGUAUUGCAUUAGGCUGACACAUCAUAGUCACGGUAAUGAUCCGAUGUAUAAUCCUUCGGUAAAGUGUACCAUUCGACCUUCCUGUUAGGCAUUGAACCUGCUUGUUAGUUGGUA
rnacentral:rRNA from 1 species